UGGGGAAUUUUGCACAAUGGGGGAAACCCUGAUGCAGCGACGCCGCGUGAUUUAGAAGGCCUUCGGGUUGUAAAAAUCUUUUCUAUGGGAAGAAAAUGACAGUACCAUAGGAAUAAGGACCGGCUAAUUACGUGCCAGCAGCCGCGGUAAUACGUAAGGUCCGAGCGUUGUCCGGAAUCAUUGGGCGUAAAGGGUACGUAGGCGGGUAAGCAAGUUAGAAGUGAAAUCAUAUAGCUCAACUAUAGUAAGCUUUUAAAACUGAUCAUCUUGAGGUAUGGAAAGGAAAGUGGAAUUCCUAGUGUAGCGGUGAAAUGCGCAGAUAUUAGGAGGAAUACCGGUGGCGAAGGCGACUUUCUGGCCAUAACCUGACGCUGAGGUACGAAAGCGUGGGUAGCAAACAGG
rnacentral:rRNA from 1 species